rnacentral:rRNA from 1 species
UACGUAGGGUGCGAGCGUUGUCCGGAAUUAUUGGGCGUAAAGAGCUCGUAGGCGGCUUGUCGCGUCGGAUGUGAAAGCCCGGGGCUUAACUCCGGAUCUGCGGUGGGUACGGGCAGACUAGAGUGAUGUAGGGGAGACUGGAAUUCCUGGUGUAGCGGUGAAAUGCGCAGAUAUCAGGAGGAACACCGAUGGCGAAGGCAGGUCUCUGGGCAUUAACUGACGCUGAGGAGCGAAAGCAUGGGGAGCGAACAGG